ACGCUCGACACCUACGUGAGGCAGCAGUGGGGAAUAUUGCACAAUGGGGGAAACCCUGAUGCAGCGACGCCGCGUGAGCGAAGAAGUAUCUCGGUAUGUAAAGCUCUAUCAGCAGGGAAGAAGAUGACGGUACCUGACUAAGAAGCACCGGCUAAAUACGUGCCUGCAGCCGCGGUAAUCUGAGCGGGCUGGCAAGGC
rnacentral:rRNA from 1 species